rnacentral:rRNA from 1 species
AACGAACGCUGGCGGCAGGCCUAACACAUGCAAGUCGAACGCAUCCUUCGGGGUGAGUGGCGCACGGGUGAGUAACACGUGGGAAUGUAUCCUUUGGUUCGGAAUAACGUCUGGAAACGGACGCUAAUACCGGAUGAGCCCUUAGGGGGAAAGAUUUAUCGCCGAAGGAGCAGCCCGCGUCUGAUUAGGUAGUUGGUGGGGUAAAGGCCUACCAAGCCGACGAUCAGUAGCUGGUCUGAGAGGAUGAUCAGCCACACUGGGACUGAGACACGGCCCAGACUCCUACGGGAGGCAGCAGUGGGGAAUAUUGGACAAUGGGCGCAAGCCUGAUCCAGCCAUGCCGCGUGAGUGAUGAAGGCCUUCGGGUUGUAAAGCUCUUUCGCACACGACGAUGAUGACGGUAGUGUGAGAAGAAGCCCCGGCUAACUUCGUGCCAGCAGCCGCCGUAACAC